GCGCUGGAAAAGAACCCAACAGGGAUCGCCCCAGUAACGGCGAGUGAAGCGGCAACAGCUCAAAUUUGAAAUCUGGCUUCGGCCCGAGUUGUAAUUUGCAGAGGAAGCUUUAGGCGCGGCACCAUCUGAGUCCCCUGGAACGGGGCGCCAAAGAGGGUGAGAGCCCCGUAUAGAUGGACGCCUAGCCUGUGUAAAGCUCCUUCGACGAGUCGAGUAGUUUGGGAAUGCUGCUCAAAAUGGGAGGUAAAUUUCUUCUAAAGCUAAAUAUUGGCCAGAGACCGAUAGCGCACAAGUAGAGUGAUCGAAAGAUGAAAAGCACUUUGAAAAGAGGGUUAAAUAGCACGUGAAAUUGUUGAAAGGGAAGCGCUUGUGACCAGACUUGCGCCGGGCGGAUCAUCCGGUGUUCUCACCGGUGCACUCCGCCCGGCUCAGGCCAGCAUCGGUUCUCGUGGGGGGAUAAAGGCACCGGGAACGUAGCUCCUCCGGGAGUGUUAUAGCCCGGGGCGUAAUGCCCUCGCGGGGACCGAGGACCGCGCUUCUGCAAGGAUGCUGGCGUAAUGGUCAUCAGCGACCCGCCUUGAAACACGGACCAAGGAGUCAAGGUUUUGCGCGAGUGUUUGGGUGUAAAACCCGCACGCGUAAUGAAAGUGAACGUAGGUGAGAGCUUCGGCGCAUCAUCGACCGAUCCUGAUGUUCUCGGAUGGAUUUGA
rnacentral:rRNA from 1 species